rnacentral:lncRNA from 1 species
AGGUCAUAACAGAGGCGGAGGUGAACACAGAAGCAGAGGUGGUGGCGAACACAGAAGCAGAGGUGGUGGCGAAAACCGAGGAAGAGGCAGAGGCAAAUAAGUUUGAAAAAGAUCGCCAACUUUUGCACCAUGCUCGAAUUUUCAAGUAGUUGUUGUAAUCUUUACAAAUAGGACUUAAUGUAAUUUUUUAAAAAAAGCAAUCGAUGUAAUCUUACGUGUUUAGAAAUAUUAGUAGAAUAA